rnacentral:rRNA from 1 species
UACACUCCUGCGGGAGGCAGCAGUGGGGAAUAUUGCACAAUGGGCGCAAGCCUGAUGCAGCCAUGCCGCGUGUAUGAAGAAGGCCUUCGGGUUGUAAAGUACUUUCAGCGGGGAGGAAGGCGAUAAGGUUAAUAACCUUGUCGAUUGACGUUACCCGCAGAAGAAGCACCAGCUAACUCCGUGCCAGCAGCCGCGGUAAUACGGAGGGUGCAAGCGUUAAUCGGAAUUACUGGGCGUAAAGCGCACGCAGGCGGUCUGUCAAGUCGGAUGUGAAAUCCCCGGGCUCAACCUGGGAACUGCAUUCGAAACUGGCAGGCUAGAGUCUUGUAGAGGGGGGUAGAAUUCCAGGUGUAGCGGUGAAAUGCGUAGAGAUCUGGAGGAAUACCGGUGGCGAAGGCGGCCCCCUGGACAAAGACUGACGCUCAGGUGCGAAAGCGUGGGGAGCAAACAGGAUUAGAAACCCGUGUAGUCCCA